AGCGAACGCUGGCGGCAGGCCUAACACAUGCAAGCGACGGUGUGGCGGACGGGUGAGUAACCCGUGGGAACGUGCCUUUAGGUUCGGAAUAGCUCCUGGAAACGGGUGGUAAUGCCGAAUGCAUUUAGAGCGGGCCGCGUCUGAUUAGCUAGUUGGUGAGGUAACGGCUCACCAAGGCGACGAUCAGUAGCUGGUGUGGGAGGAUGACCAGCCACACUGGGGCCGGGACACGGCCGAGACCCCUACGGGAGGCAGUAGGGGUGAAUCUUGCGCACUGGGCGAAAGCCUGAGGCUGCCGGGCCGCAUGGAUGAUGAAGGUCUUAGGAUUGUAAAAUUCUUUCACCGGUGAAGCGGUACCCGGAGAAGAAGCCCCGGCUAACUUCGUGCCAGCAGCCGCGGUAAUAC
rnacentral:rRNA from 1 species